rnacentral:lncRNA from 1 species
GUCCCGUCAUUUCCUCUCUACUACUUCAUGGUCACAAUGCGAUGCAUUCUUAAUCAGAAGCAAAUGCAAAUGUAUUAAUCACACACAUGAUCGGCCCAUCCUUAAGCCAUCUCCCGGCAAGGAAUGCUUCUCGUGGGACCCGAUAGUACGUCAACCGUGCGUGCUCAAGGUAACAUCUCAAUCACAAUAACCCAUCACCGAAUACUCCUGGACGGUCACAUGACCAAGCCUCUU